rnacentral:rRNA from 1 species
UGAAAUCGUACCCCAAACCGACACAGGUGGUCAGGUAGAGAAUACUCAGGCGCUUGAGAGAACUCGGGUGAAGGAACUAGGCAAAAUGGUGCCGUAACUUCGGGAGAAGGCACGCUGGCAUUAGGUAAAGGGACUUGCUCCCGGCGCCGAAGCCAGUCGCAGAUACCAGCUGGCUGCAACUGUUUAAUAAAAACACAGCACUGUGCAAACACGAAAGUGGACGUAUACGGUGUGACGCCUGCCCGGUGCUGGAAGGUUAAUUGAUGGGGUCAGCCGCAAGGCGAAGCUCUUGAUCGAAGCCCCAGUAAACGGCGGCCGUAACUAUAACGGUCCUAAGGUAGCGAAAUUCCUUGUCGGGUAAGUUCCGACCUGCACGAAUGGCGUAAUGAUGGCCAGGCUGUCUCCACCCGAGACUCAGUGAAAUUGAACUCGCUGUGAAGAUGCAGUGUACCCGCGGCAAGACGGAAAGACCCCGUGAACCUUUACUAUAGCUUGACACUGAACAUUGAGCCUUGAUGUGUAGGAUAGGUGGGAG